rnacentral:misc_RNA from 1 species
UAAAAAGAAAAAUUCAGAACAUAUAGUUGAAGAUUCAACCAGGCUUAACCACCGGUCUCUGCAGUCUUAUCCACAAUAUAAUUCAAGAGUAGAUCAUGUUGAAGUUGAUAAGUCAGUUGAUACCAAUGUAAAACCUCAUCAAGGGAUUGGUCCAGAAAGCUGUGGGGAAAGCAAUAGAAAAGCAUCUGUUGGCAUUUUUCAGCUGAAUGAUAUGAAAAGAGAACAGCUUCCCUCAAAAAAAGGAAGUAAAAAGCUAGCACCUAAUCCAAUAACUGAAGUUACUGAUGCACAGAAGAACCCAGUAUCAG